rnacentral:tRNA from 1 species
GAUGGCAUCGGUAAGGAAGUCGUGCCUGAGGGGCUUCGUGUGCUUCAGGCGGCCGGUGAGCGCUACGGGUUCGAACUCCGCUGCGAUCAC